GACGAACGCUGGCGGCGUGCCUAAUACAUGCAAGUAGAACGCACAGUUUAUACCGUAGCUUGCUACACCAUAGACUGUGAGUUGCGAACGGGUGAGUAACGCGUAGGUAACCUGCCUGGUAGCGGGGGAUAACUAUUGGAAACGAUAGCUAAUACCGCAUAAUAUUAAUUAUUGCAUGAUAAUUAAUUGAAAGGUGCAAUUGCACCACUACCAGAUGGACCUGCGUUGUAUUAGCUAGUAGGUGAGGUAACGGCUUACCUAGGCGACGAUACAUAGCCGACCUGAGAGGGUGAUCGGCCACACUGGGACUGAGACACGGCCCAGACUCCUACGGGAGGCAGCAGUAGGGAAUCUUCGGCAAUGGACGAAAGUCUGACCGAGCAACGCCGCGUGAGUGAAGAAGGUUUUCGGAUCAUAAAGCUCUGUUGUAAGAGAAGAACGGGUGUGAGAGUGGAAAGUUCACACUGUGACGGUAUCUGACCAGAAAGGGACGGCUAACUACGUG
rnacentral:rRNA from 1 species